rnacentral:lncRNA from 1 species
CUCGGUUAUAUUAACCAGCUAACUUUCAGGUGUUAGCCAAACCUUUGCUGAGAUUCUCCCUCAACUAGCUAAUUUUCAGGAUGUUGGCCAGACCUCUAUAUGAGUUUCUCUCCUCGAACCGCUCCAAUAAGAUCUCUUCCCAAAUCUCCCGACAGCAAUACUACAAGGAGCAAUGAUUCUCAAAGGAAAAAAAUAUGGAGCAACAUGUCUAGAUCAAACGUAACAGAUUUGGCAUAUUUGUUUGUCUAAGCUCAUCCUUUUUUUUGUGCAUAAAUACCAUGGAAGCUUUUUUAUAUAGUUGAGCUCGUAUAGCCAUUGGAGUGCACCGCCAUCACAUUAAUACCGCAGUCGCAUUUAGACAUGAUUAAACAACUAGCCGUUACACUGAUCAGAUGUUGUAGGGGAGACAACCCCUGAUAAAAGAAAAGAUGCUUCUAGGGAUGCCCCCUAUGAUCUAUUGCAUCUUCUCAUUUAGUUUCCUGGAGAGAACUCCUAAUCCACCGGAGAUAGCACCGACUAGUUCUAUACUAUUUUUUGGUUCUAGG